AUUGAACGCUGGCGGCAGGCCUAACACAUGCAAGUCGAACGAGUGGCGGACGGGUGAGUAAUGUCUGGGAAACUGCCUGAUGGAGGGGGCUAACUACUGGAAACGGUAGCUAACACCGCAUACCAUCAGAUGUGCCCAGAUGGGAGUAGCUUGUUGGUGGGGUAACGGCUCCCCAAGGCGACAAUACCUAGCUGGUCUGAGAGGGUGACCAGACAAACUGGAACUGAGACACGGUCCAGGAUCCUACGGGAGUCAGCAGUGGGGAAUAUUGCACAAUGGGCGCACGCCUGAUGCAGCCAUGCCGCGUGUAUGAAGAAGGCCUUCGGGUUGUAAAGUACUUUCAGCGGGGAGGCGUUACCCGCAGAAGAAGCACCGGCUAACUCCGUGCCAGCAGCCGCGGUAAUAC
rnacentral:rRNA from 1 species